rnacentral:tRNA from 3 species
AUUCUAGUAGCUUAACAUAAAGC